UCCACAUCCCCCUGCCUUUUCCGAGAAAAGGACAGUUAGUGCCUGGACCAGGACCAUCACACUGGGGACCGGCUUCUCUGCUCUCCCGUUAUGGGGGUCGGGGGAAUGAUGGGUCAAGGGUCUUCCGAAGAAAGCGAGAAAGGAACAGGCGCCUUCAAAAGCCCACUUGGCGAUGGGUUACAGUAAGAGCGUUGCUCCCUGCUUGGCUGAGCACUGCGGAGUUUCACGCCUCUAAACCCCGCCUCUUCUUGCAACCUGUGUUGGCCUCAUCUACCCAGCAACUGUCGACGUCACACGACCUGGGCCUCCCUGAAUGGGAGAUAUUUACUAGGCAAUCCCGCCUACUGUUCUGAGGUUUCCCCUCCAGGUGCAGCUUCAGAGCCAGGCGAGCCAGGAAGGACCAGCGGGCGAGGUGGAAGUCUGCAUUAUCACGAGGAGCUUGGAAAGGAGGUAACACACUCAAGGCAAAUUUCAAGUAACUCAUCCUGGAGGCAGCUGCCUACUCUGCAGCUGUGGUUCUCCACCACAGAGAGAAGAAAAGGGAGGGAGAUGGAGUGCGCAGGUCUGAGAAGGCUUUCAUUCUGGAGCAUCUGCAGGAGCCUGCACCAUGGCCCAGUAGCACCCCUUUUUCUCCAUGAGCUGCUGGUGGGUUCCCCCCUCCCGGAUAGCGCCUCCUUCCAGAAAGAGGAUGUGGUCAGCCUGCUCCACCAGGCUGAGGUGCUGGGUGAUGAGAAGCACUGAGCGGGAGUACCGCUCAGGGCUUUCGUACAGGAGCUGCUCCACCUGAGGAAAGACAUCGGACCGUCAGAGCCGGGGACUACCCUCAGCCCAGGGAGACACCUGUGUUUCCAGGGCUGGGACUGACCUCACAGGAUCACUGCUGGCUCUGCUAACAACCCCAAGGACACCAACGUUUCCCAUUCUGAGUACUUCUCCGCAAACCCUUUGUUUCAUUAAGGACUGUUUUACAUGAAGGGUGCAAAAGUAGGAUAAAAAUGAGAACCCUAGGGUGAAACACGUGACAGAAGAAUAAAGACUAUUGAAUAGUCCUCUUCUCUACCCAUGGACUUGGCAUUUUUAUAUUCGAUUUUAAGGAAAUAUAACUUAGUAGUAAAGAGAUGAGCAUUCAAGUCAGGCAGACCUGAAUUUGGGUCAAGGCUGCGCCACUCAAAAGCUAUAUGACCUCUAUAUGAGCAGCUUAUUCAACCUCUUUUAACCUCCAUUUUGUCAUCUGUAGAAUGAUGAUAAAUGCCUAGCUCAGAAGGAUUCCUAAUGAAUAAAUGAGUGACAGUGCAUGUAAACAGACUAGCUUAAUUAAUAUUAAUAUGAUUAGGAUGGGCUGGGCCCGGUGGCUCAUGCCUAUAAUCCUAGCACUUUGGGAGGUCAAGGAGGGAGGAUCACUUGGGCCCAGGAGUUCAAGGCCAGCCUGGGCAACAUAGCGGGACGCUGUCUGUACAAAAAAUAAUUUUUUUAAAUAAACGAUAUUAUGAGGAUGGUC